AAUAUUGGACAAUGGGCGAAAGCCUGAUCCAGCCAUGCCGCGUGUGUGAAGAAGGCCUUCGGGUUGUAAAGCUCUGUCUUCGCUGACGAUAAUGACGGUCAGCGAGGAGGAAGCCACGGCUAACUACGUGCCAGCAGCCGCGGUAAUACGUAGGUGGCAAGCGUUGUCCGGAAUUAUUGGGCGUAAAGGAUGCGUAGGUGGUCCUUUAAGUGGGAUGUGAAAUCCCUGGGCUUAACCCAGGAAUUGCAUUCCAAACUGGAGGACUAGAGUGCAGGAGAGGAAAGUGGAAUUCCCAGUGUAGCGGUGAAAUGCGUAGAGAUUGGGAGGAACACCAGUGGCGAAGGCGGCUCUUUGGUCUGUAACUGACGCUGAGGCGCGAAAGCGUGGGGAGCAAACAGG
rnacentral:rRNA from 1 species